rnacentral:lncRNA from 1 species
CUGAACUUCAGCUUGAGCUUGACUUCCAGAAGGCAUGUAUUGCUGGGAGCCGAAUCCAAAAUAUUGGGUCGGGGUAACACCAGAUCCUUGAAAUCGAACCCGACCGUACCUUUCAGGACCCAAAACUUCAGUGAUAAUUCUGUUAUCAAUGUUCUCAAGAUUAACAGAACUAUCACUCGAAGCAAUCGCUUCAUAUUCUGCCUUCUUCUCCUUUAGUUUCUCCAAAAAAAUCAAUUAAAGAGUUAGAAACGAAAUAUAUAGUAAAAAGGAAUGCAACAUAACUUAACAUUAUUUAAAACUACUAAUGAUGAAUUGAAUUAAAAAAUUAUAAUUAAAGAUUAUAAAUAUUUAGAAUAAAUCAAAUAUUAUUAAGUAAAUAUACCAUAAUUUCUCCAGCUUCG